UAGCUGUAGGCCUUUAUAGGAAUAUUCGAUUUAAAAAUAAGAAUAUUUUAAAGUAUUUUUAUCUGUUUAAUGUUAUAUAUUUGGUUAUACCCAAGUGUAGCUGUGGGCCUUUACAGGAAUAUUCCAUACAGUAAUACAGAUAAUUCUAUUUAUUUUUAUCUGCAAAUAACUAUCAAAAGGACAUCAGAGCUACAUAAGAAAUUAUACCUAGGUGUAGUUGUGGACCUCUAUAUGAAAAACCAGUAUUAUAUUACAAUCACUUUUAUGUAUUUUCAUUUGUAAAAUACAAUUAAUAAUGUCUUAUAACUAAAUGGUAUCAAAUGGAUUAUUCAGAUUGGACUUUUAUUUCAAGUCCAAUGUUAUGUAUCUGGAUGUACUCAGAUGUAGCUAUAGGCCUGUAUAGGAAUAUCCGAUAUAAAAAUAAGAGUAUUUUAAUGUAUUUUUAUCUGUUUAAUGUUACAUAUUUGGAUACAUCCAGGUGUAGCUGUGGGCCUCUACAAGAACAUUCCAUACAGUAAUACAGAUAAUUCUAUAUAUUUUUAUCUGCAAAUAACUAUUGAAAGGACUUCAGAGCUAUAUAAGAAAUGGAUAAAUUCUUUUUCUUUUAAGGCUAAUUUCUCUUGAAGGACAGAUUGGAUAGAAUUAUCGCCACUUUCCGUUUUUUUUUCACGGUUAUUUUUUAUCAUAUCCACAUCACUUUCUUCAGUUCCAGAAACUAGUUUCGAAACUGGAGGAAAUUUGAAGACAAAUUUUGGCAGAAGAUAAAUUUUCUCCGCUCAAAAAUCGAUAGAAGAAAAAAAAUGUUAUUGCAAUCCCAAAAAACAAUUUAGAGAAAAAUUAAACAUACAACAGCUGAUUUUUCUUUUAAAAGUUCGUGCAAGUUUAUUUCUGGCAAGGGAUAAAAAUUUUUAAAC